rnacentral:rRNA from 1 species
AUUGAACGCUGGCGGCAGGCCUAACACAUGCAAGUCGAGCGGAUGACGGGAGCUUGCUCCUUGAUUCAGCGGCGGACGGGUGAGUAAUGCCUAGGAAUCUGCCUGGUAGUGGGGGACAACGUUUCGAAAGGAACGCUAAUACCGCAUACGUCCUACGGGAGAAAGCAGGGGACCUUCGGGCCUUGCGCUAUCAGAUGAGCCUAGGUCGGAUUAGCUAGUUGGUGGGGUAAUGGCUCACCAAGGCGACGAUCCGUAACUGGUCUGAGAGGAUGAUCAGUCACACUGGAACUGAGACACGGUCCAGACUCCUACGGGAGGCAGCAGUGGGGAAUAUUGGACAAUGGGCGAAAGCCUGAUCCAGCCAUGCCGCGUGUGUGAAGAAGGUCUUCGGAUUGUAAAGCACUUUAAGUUGGGAGGAAGGGCAGUAAGUUAAUACCUUGCUGUUUUGACGUUACCGACAGAAUAAGCACCGGCUAACUCUGUGCCAGCAGCCGCGGUAAUACAGAGGGUGCAAGCGUUAAUCGGAAUUACUGGGCGUAAAGCGCGCGUAGGUGGUUUGUUAAGUUGGAUGUGAAAGCCCCGGGCUCAACCUGGGAACUGCAUCCAAAACUGGCAAGCUAGAGUACGGUAGAGGGUGGUGGAAAUUUCCUGUGUAGCGGUGAAAUGCGUAGAUAUAGGAAGGAACACCAGUGGCGAAAGGCGACCACCUGGACUGAUACUGACACUGAGGGUGCGAAAGCGUGGGGGAGCAAACAGGAUAAGAUACCCUGGUAGUCCAAGGGCGGAAUUUCAUAAUGGAUAUCAAGCUUAUCGAGACCGUCGACCUCUAGGGGGGGGCCCGGUACCAAGUUUUUAUUUCUCUUUAUUUAGGUUUUAUUAAAAGGC